rnacentral:sRNA from 1 species
UGAGGGGUCAGGGGAAUCCGACGUCAAGAUCAUCAGGGUCGGGGUCGAAAUCGAAGCGGAUGGCAUAUGUCGUGCAUGUUGCGUUGGUUAUUGUUCUUCUGGGAGCAGUGUAUUUCCAUGUUGAGCAUGCGAGGAAAUUCGUGGUGCAGGCUCUGAUGAUUUAUGGGGUUGACGUCGGGAGUUGGGUGAUUAAGCGAUUAUAUAGGUCAGGGGUUAGAGUAUGAUUGAAAGGCCAGGUUAGUGUCCAAACUUUUUAGGUCUGUUGUUCCGAUGUACUCGGAUAGAAUACUCUGUCGCGGUUUGUAGGGUUGUGAGAUUGGGGUUUUCGUUUUGGAAGGGGUUGGAUUAGAGUGAGAAAGGAUCCUAUUACAGAGAAGAUAUUAACUGAUAUUCGCGGAAGGAUGAGAUGUGUAUUGUGCUUGUAUAUACAAUGAUGAACGAAUCGCUAUAUUGAUAGGCAUAGAAGAUAGCAGAUACGACGGUGAUAAAUAACAGAUGAACAUGUAUCGUACACACAGUCACAAUAUGGUGCUGGAAGAAAGAAAAUACACAAAGAAAGAUAAAUGUGAUACGAGACCAGGAAUUUUGAACAAUGCAACUUUGGC